GAGCGGUAACAGGUGUAGCAAUACAUGCUGACGAGCGGCGAACGGGUGAGUAAUGCUUCGGAAUCUGCCCAAUGGUGGGGAAUAACCAGCCGAAAGGUUGGCUAAUACCGCAUACGUCCUACGGGAGAAAGCAGGGGAUCGCAAGACCUUGCGCCAAUGGAUGAGCCGAAGUCGGAUUAGCUAGUUGGUAGGGUAACGGCCUACCAAGGCGACGAUCCGUAGCUGGUCUGAGAGGACGACCAGCCACACUGGGACUGAGACACGGCCCAGACUCCUACGGGAGGCAGCAGUGGGGAAUAUUGGACAAUGGGGGAAACCCUGAUCCAGCGACGCCGCGUGUGUGAAGAAGGCCUGCGGGUUGUAAAGCACUUUUAGUGGGGAUGAAAAGUUCAGGGCUAACACCUAUGGAUAUUGACCUAACCCAAAGAAAAAGCACCGGCUAACUAUGUG
rnacentral:rRNA from 1 species